rnacentral:rRNA from 1 species
UACGGGGGGGGCAAGCGUUGUUCGGAAUUACUGGGCGUAAAGGGCGCGUAGGCGGUCUGCUAAGUUGGAUGUGAAAACUCUGGGCUUAACCCAGAGCCUGCAUUCAAUACUGACAGGCUAGAGUUCUGGAGGGGAUAGCGGAAUUCCUGGUGUAGCGGUGAAAUGCGUAGAUAUCAGGAGGAACACCGGUGGCGAAGGCGGCUAUCUGGACAGAGUCUGACGCUGAGGCGCGAAAGCUAGGGGAGCAAACAGG